GCAAUUUCUCCAUCGGGCUGCUCAAGAGAGAAACUGGACCUGCAUGUUAAGACGGACUCAUCCCCCCGCCCUGUGUUCUCUUCAUCCCUCCCCCUUUGUUUUUUGUACUCGUAACUGGCUCCACACCUUCCUGGAAGAGUCUACAUUUGACUACAAACCAGCACAGUUCCUCCUAGAGGGACUUGAGUAGCUGACUCUCAUCCCCCUCCUUCCAACCCUCCAAGCAUCCACUGCCAGCCCAGCAGGGCGCCAGCAUCCCAUGCCCACCCACGCUUGGAUUGCAGGUCCCAGCAGGUGCCCCUGCCUGCCUUAUUCCAGUGGCCUGUGCCACAUAGGACUGAGGCCUGUGACUUGUGCCCAG
rnacentral:lncRNA from 1 species